rnacentral:rRNA from 1 species
GGAUAACCUUUYCUUAGGUCUGGCAUAACCCCGGGAAACUGGGACUAAUACCGGAUAGAUCAAAGAUACUGGAAUGUUCUCUGGUCCAAAGCUUUUGCGCCUAAGGAUGGAUCUGCGGCCUAUCAGGUAGUAGUGGGUGUAACGUACCUACUAGCCUACGACGGGUACGGGUUGUGAGAGCAAGAGCCCGGAGAUGGAUUCUGAGACAUAAAUCCAGACCCUACGGGGUGCAGCAGGCGCGAAACCUUUACAAUGCGGGAAAUCGCGAUAAGGGGACCCCGAGUGCCAGCACCUAGUGUUGGCUGUCCAGCUGCGUAAAUAACAGUUGAUAGCAAGGGCCGGGCAAGACCGGUGCCAGCCGCCGCGGUAACACCGGCGGCCCGAGUGGUAACCGAUUUUAUUGGGUUUAAAGGGUCCGUAGCCGGCCUGCUAAGUCUCUUGGAAAAUCUGGCGGCUUAAUCGUCAGGCGUCCAAAAGAUACUGGCAGGCUUGGGACCGGGAGAGGUGAGAGGUACUCCAUGGGUAGGGGUGAAAUCUUGUAAUCCUUGGGGGACCAUCGAUGGCGAAGGCAUCUCACCANAACGGGUUCGACGGUGAGGGACG